GCCAUGUCUGUAGGCCUCUCUGUUUCACGCUCUCUUUAUGUAUUGAGCUAUCGUUUGUUUGAGCACCUCCAUAGCACUUUGUCAUCAUCUGUUACCACAGGGACUGGAGAGCCCGGCGGGGCCAGAGCGAGAGAGAGGUGUAUUCUGUGAGACAGGGAUGAAGCGAUCACUGGUGUUUGAUCCAGAUGCCAUUCUCGGGGGCGAAGGAUGAAGCUCCCUUAGUGGACUGAGGUCUUCCCGCUUCUGACACAACCUCCACGUUGAAGUAGCGCAAGAUGGAUGCCAGGAUCACCUUCUCCAUCACGGCAAAGCUCUGACCUGGGGGCACGGGUGUAACAAGAGCAUGUGAGGAUACACACUUUUAAUCCUCCAUUUUGUUUUAAUUAUGUCUUGUUUUUUGUUGUCUGAAGUUAAACUUUAGUUUGUCACUAUCAUUAAGGUAGUGAUAGCUUGUAAGCAUCUUCGUUGGACAGGCCCACUGUAGUGGACAGUCCACUAUCAAGCUGAUAAAACAUUGAUCAAUACCUGUGACAUUGUACAACCCAAUCCUUGUUUUAUUUUUAAAAUCUUUUAUUUUGGCUUCAAAUUGAAAAUUGCCGCCAAAGGUGACCAAUCUUGUGUCAUUAAUCUCAAA